rnacentral:misc_RNA from 1 species
CCCCAUCAUGUGAAAAACAGUGUUGAGCAACCAAAGUCAGAGGAUAGUAAAAAAACUUCAGAUCAAAAUCAUGAAUGUUUCUGAAAAAAAGACAGACUCCUCAUGGAAAACUCAGUGCCUUCCAACUCAGACCAAUAUCAGUCUUUUUUCAUCAAAACAAAGUACAAAGAAUGAUUUUACUGAAAUUACAAAACCUGCAAAGAAAUCACGGCACACUCUGGCACCCUUACAAGGUGACAGUCAGACUGUUUUCAAUCCAUCAACAACAAGCAGAAUUAUGACGAAUCCACAAGUUUCUGGAGCUACUACAAAUAGUAUAUUUGUUUUACCGCAAAAUUCAGGACACCAGACAAUUCAGUGUGAAGACAAAACAUUUGAACUUAGUGAUUUAUACUCCCACUCUGACAAUUUUAUUAACCAGGAAGAUAUAAAGCGCUCCAAAAAAAGAAAUGAAAUGAGAUGUCGCACAUGUUUGGAUAUUGUCCCAAAUCAGUUGGAACAAGCUUCUAUCUCAAUGUUAUGUUUCGAAGGGAUAUCUGUGAAAGAAGGUUUGGUGCAACUUGUGCCUGAAAUGAACUCUACCCUAGCCGAUGAUCAGUUUGUUUGUCCCAUUUGCUUUUUAGUAUUAAGAAAGACUUUGAAGUUUGUGAAGCAGUGUCAGAAAUCCGAAAAAAUUUUAGCAGUAUCAAAUAAUAUUGUUAAGGAUGAUACCCAUAAACUGAAAGAGGAAGUGACCAAUACUGAAUUAGAUCGUUCUGAAUUAAAAACUAAAUUAAAUAAUUUUGAAAAAACAUGCUACAAAGAAGAUUUUCAUUGUGAUGAAUAUGAAUUUGAUGAUGAUAUCAAUUUUGAUGAAGAUGAUGUCAGUGACGAAGAUGGCUCACUAUUUGAGUUCGAUCCUAAAGUGGAAGAGCAGGAUUAUGUUUUGAAUGGUAUUGCUGAUUUAUUAAGAACAGAUGAAGACAAGAAAUCCUCAAACUUUCACAGAAAAUCAGAUCUAUUCAAUGGAGUGAUGAAACACGUGAAUUUUUUACCUUUAGAAUACGCUAAUGUUCGUGAUCAUGAUAGCAUAGUUUCCAUUGCGAAUUUGCAACCUGAUUUCAUUUAUUCGUUACAAAGAAGUAAAGUCAGGCUUAUAGAAAGUUGUUCAAAGUUCGAUGAGAAUAUAUUUGAAAACAAACGCGUGCUUUUGCUUGGAAAUUACACAGAAAUUAAGUGUCUCUUGUGUGAAGAACAUUUCAUUACGGAAGAAAAAAUGCAGGCCCAUCUAGAAGUUGCUCAUGGCCUAUCUAAAGCUUUUCUUAUGGAGGCACAUUGUUAUCAUCACAUACCAGGCUCUACAAAUGUAUGCAAAGCUUGUGGAAAAGACUUUGGAAGUGAAGAAAUUAAAAAAGUUCAUUCAAUAACCUGUUUCCUGUUUCCGUGUCCUUACUGUGAUGAGAUGAUGACUCCACUUGAAUUGUCAAGUCAUACUUCAAAUAAACAUCUUGAUUCUAAUCCCUUCAAAUGUUUGUACUGCAGACAAGAGCAUGACAACUUCAUGAAAUUCACAUCACAUUUGUGUUAUGGUAUUUUGUGUGAAACUUGCGGUAAACAUUUUGUGGCUAAGAAUAGUUUUCUUUUGCACAAAGAAGAGUGUCCUUCUAGAGAAGUUAUCAAAAAGUGCAUCGAGUGUAAAAAGAGGUUCAGUUUGAGUUCUUUCCAAAAUCAUGUCAAAACUCACGAACUCCCAUGUUCAAUUUGCGGAAAAAUGUGUCCUAAUAGAACUGUACUAUGUAGCCAUGAAUAUAAUCAUCAGAAGAAAGGUAGCCUGUGCCCUUUAUGUGGCAAGGUUUUCUCUCAUUUAGCACAGCAUAUGAAUGUUCACAAAGAAAUUAAGAACAAGAAAGUAAAAUGCUCUCUGUGUCCCAAAUCUUUCAUUAGCAAAACCAGACUCGAAAGACAUGAACAGUCAUAUCAUAUGACCACAAGAAUUGUUUGUGAAAGAUGUCACAAAAUUUUCACUGAAUACACUAUUGAAAGUCAUUAUGAUUUAGAGCAUCCUAACGAAACCGAGUUCAAAUGUGCCAAAUGUGACAGUAGCUUCACAAAUAUAGUCCUCUUUAAACAUCAUGCUAAAUGGCAUGAUUUAGAGAACAGGAAAGAACUAAAAAGGAAUAUAAUGCGUAAAAGACCUAAAAAGCGAAGGGGGCGUAAUCCAGGAAAGAUUGCCAAUUUCACUAUGCUGACCCGACUCAUCUUAGACUCAAGACACUUUGGGCUCAAAUGAAUUCAAACACAACAAAAAUGUAUGCUAUUGCUUUGUGAGCAUUCUGCAACCAAUAUCUUUGUUUGAGGUGUCAUUUUUGAGUUCCGAAGGAAAUUGCAUUUCAUGUAGAAAGUGGACCAUUAGAAUAUUUAAUUUUCAGUUGAUUGAGCUUUUUUACAACAGCAGGUUAUGGUCAAAAUGAUUGUCAAUGGUCAAAUCCUGGUGUAGGACUAUUAACCUACGCAAUGAUUGUUGCAAAAUCAUGGACAGUGAAGAAGAACUAGAUGCACAUAUGCAAUGUUAUGCUCCUGCAAUGAAGUACCAGUGUGGAGAAUGUUUUGAGCUAUUUUGUACGGAAUAUCGGCUUCAGUCUCAUCUGAUAAAUAAGCAUACUGUAGAAGGUGAAGUAGAGAAAGACAGAACAGUUAUGUACACCUAGGAAUAUGAAUUUGCAAAAAUAAACAAUAAAGAUAAUAAUAAUAUAUCAAAUA